rnacentral:rRNA from 1 species
UACGUAGGGGGCGAGCGUUGUCCGGAUUUAUUGGGCGUAAAGAGCGUGUAGGCGGUUCGGUAAGUCUGUCGUGAAAUCCUGAGGCUCAACCUCGGGCGUGCGAUGGAUCCUGCCGGGCUAGAGGGUGGUAGAGGCGAGUGGAAUUCCCGGUGUAGCGGUGAAAUGCGCAGAUAUCGGGAGGAACACCAGUAGCGAAGGCGGCUCGCUGGGCCACACCUGACGCUGAGACGCGAAAGCUAGGGGAGCGAACAGG